GUCUGUACAGAAUUUUUUCUCCUAGUGCUGUAUUUCCUUAAAUAUUAUUUUUUAUAUGAUUUUUUUAAAAAACAGUAACCCACUUUUUUUUCUCAGUCCCCCUCCCUCUGCUUCGGUUCUAUCCACAGGACGGCACAGCGAGACCCCGCUGGGUGACCCCGACGGCGACCGGCUCCGUCCUCGCGUCCCGUCCUUCCCGGGAUGGGGGCACCAGAUUGGGAUGGGGGAACCCCACUGGGAUGGGGGAACCCAACUGGGACUGGGGGAACCCCACCCGGGAUGGGGGAACCCAAUUGGGACUGGGGGAACCCCACCAGGAUUGGGGGAACCCCACCAGGAUGGUGGAACCCCACCGGGAUGAGGGAACCCAAACAGGAUGGGGGGAACCCAACCAGGAUGGGGGCACCCAACCAGGAUGGGGGUCACCUGACUGGGAUGGGGAGAACCCCACUGGGAUGGGGGAACCCCACCAGGAUGGGGGAACCCCACCGGAAUGGGGGAACCCAAUUGGGACUGGGGGAACCCCACCAGGAUUGGGGGAACCUAACUGGGAUGGGGGGCACCCCUCCAGGAUGGUGGAAUCCCACUGGGACUGGGGGAACCCAAUCUUGAUGGGGGGCACCCAACCAGGAUGGUGGAACCCCACCAGGAUGGGAGCACCUAACUGGGAUGGAGGCACCCCACCAGGAUUGGGGGAACCCCACCAGGAUGGGGAGAACCCAACCAGGAUGGGGGCACCCAACCAGGACGGUGGAACUCCACCCGGAUUGGGGGAACCCUUCCAGGAUGAGGGCACCCCUCCAGGAUGGGGGGACCUAACUGGGAUGGGGGCACCCCACUGGGAUGGGGGGAACCCAACCAGGAUGGGGGAACCCCUCCGGGAUGGGGAGAACCCAACCAGGAUGGGGGCACCCGACCAGGAUAGGGGCACCCCAUUGAGACAGGGGAACCCCAUUGGGAUGGGGGCGCCCAACCUGGAUGGGGGGCACCAGACUGGGAUGGGGGCACCCCACCAGGAUAGGGGCACCCCACUGGGAUGGGGGAACCCGACCAGGAUGGGGGAACCCAACCUGGAUGGGGGAACCCAACCUGGAUGGGGGUCAUCUGAUUGGUAUGGGUGCACCCACCUAGGAUUGGGGCACCCGAUCAUCAUGGGGGCACCCAACCAGCAUGUGGGGCACCCACCUGGCAUGAGGACACCCAACCAGCACGGGGCCACCCACCCUCUCCCCAAAAAUCCGCCGUGUCCUUGCUUUGCCCUUGACCCCUCAUCCUGUUUCCCCCCGCUCGUGCCGCCGCCGCCCUGACCCCGUCACCAUUUUGCCGGGAUAACUUUGGGCCUCCAAAGAGGAUCCAAAGAGGAUCCAAAGAGGAUCGCGCCGCUUCAGCCGGUAAUGCCCCCGCGCCCUCCGCCGCCAAAUCGCCCCGGGGACAGCGCCUGCAGGGGAUUUUUUUUUCCCAGCCUGGAUCGCUGGGGAUAAAAAUAAAUCGCUGGGUUUCAGCGCUGGCGCUCGCACGGGCACGAGGAACGAGUGGGAGAAGGAGUUUGGAGGCGCUCGCAUGUUUGGAGUGGUGGAGCGCGGUGGCUGGAUCCUUCCCCAGGUUUGGGAUGGAGCCGGAAUUUCGGAGUUGGGGUCGUGCUGGAGGAUCCCAGACGGGGUCUGGGGGUCCCUUGGUGCUUUGCGUGACCGGUUGAGUGUCCCACAAGUGUCCCCUUCCCAGGGCCUUGCUGGCAGGGCUGGUGGCAGGCAGUGGCACCGUGGUCUUCCCCGGUGUUCCCAGGGUAUGAAAGCGUUGGCAUUGUUGUCAGAUUUCCUGAUUUUGAUUUGGAUCUGCAGCUAGGCCUGGAAUGGUUGCUGCUCUGGCCAUUCCAGGGCGGCUCUGCCCAUUGCAGGGGGUUUGUUGAGCUCCCUGGCUUGGAAAUCUUUAAUUCUGGGGACAAUCCAGGCUCUGAAGGUGACUCAGGGCACAGCUGGCCCAGACAGGGAUGGCAUCUCGUGCUGUUGAGGACUUGGCGUUGGUGCUGCACCAGAUCUCUGUGCUGAUUCUUGGAGUGUUUGGUGGCCACGUGAGGCUGGACUGGGAUGAGCUGGGAUUGUCCUCCCCUGUGUGCUCUGGAGGUCCUGCAGCCAGCAGGGGCUGCGGGACGGCUUGGGAGCCAUCGGUGUCCCCGUGGUGUCCCCACGUGUGGCUCAAGGGGGCAGGACCCAGAGCUGCCACACACAGGGAGAGCCACCACGGCCCCCAGCAUCACCUGAGGGUGCUGUGCUGGUGCUGGUGCUGCUGGAGGUGCCCAUCUGCCCAUCUCCACCGGUGGCUCAUGCUGGAAAACGCUGGAGAGACCCUGGGAACGGGCACAGCAGAGGAGCUGCCCCGGUGAGGAGCCACCCAACGUUCCACCAACGCUUUGGGCUCUUUCUGAGGGCGAGGAGCAGGGCAGGAGCCCAGCAGGCCCUGGGGACCCUCUGUGGCAGCCAGGCCUGGGCAGGACACCCCCUGGCACGGAGCAGGAAGGUGAGGAGCACCCUUGGGUGGCAAAGCGCGGGGAGUGCGUGCAGCACCUUGCACGAAAAAUGUUGGUUGCUACGGAAACACGGCACUUUCCAUCCCCGUUCUGGGCUAUCUGUGUUCUGGGGAGGAGGGAAGGGCUUCCAGUCACGUACCAGCUCCACACAACUUGCUGCCUUCGCCUCUCAACGGGAGCAGCGGGGUCCUGAGGAGGCCACCAACACCUCGCUCCUCCCCGCUGAGGGUCCUCGGGGCUCUGCAGGACGUGGAUGGAUCCAAGAGCUCUCCACGGGAUGGGAUUUGCUGCUCAGGAGGAGCACCAAGAGCUGGGACCCCGUCCCUGGGUCAGGAGUGAAGAGGACCCACAGCCAGAAGCUCCGGGAUUGCAGCUGGAGUACAGAUGUUGGUGGGAUCCUUCCCUGAUCUUCUCACCUCUGGCCCAGCAGGAGACAGCACCCACAGAAGGCCUGGAUGGUUCUGGAUCACCUCUGACCUCAUCUCCCGCCCCGUGGGACCGUGUGGAUCCAUGCCCAUCCCCUCUGGAGGACAGGCCACACUCAUCCUCCCCCUGGGACAGGGGGACAAACAGCAGAGCCUCCACAGAAGGUGCUCCCCGUGGCCACCAGGACGUCAGAGCCAGGCUUGUCCCAUCCUGGUGACACUGAGGGGCACCACGGUGGGGACAGGCCCAGGAGCAACAACCUGGCCCAGCAGGCAGCAAAACCCUCCUGUCCCAGCCUUCCUCUUCCUCUUCCUCAUCACUUGGAUGGGAUGCGGGACCCUCACGGCUGCCUCCCCUCGGGGUUUGCUCUGACACCCACCAGCACCCCAAAACCCAUCCCUUCCCCUCAGCCCCCCUGCCAACGUCCCCUCUGCACCCACCCUGGCACAAAACGGGACAAUGGUGGCGGUUGCCACCCUGGCACGGUGCCCCCCCCGCCCGGAUCUGCCCCCUCCCUGCUCCUUUUGGGCUAAUCCCUGUCCUCAGCGGUGUCGGUAACACCUUCCCAGUUUAGCAUCAUCCUGCCUGCCUGUAAUUACCGUGCUGUUUACCUCCACCUGCUAAUUGAUAAAGCCAGCCCUGGCGCCCGGCCCGGGGCCGCCGCCCCGUGCGCUGGCAUGUGGCUGCUGUCACCGGCCCGGUGGCACCGGGGCUGUCCCCACGCCAGGAUGGCACCCCGACCUCGGGGGGCUCUGCUGCAUCCCGGGCUCACGGAUGGAUGGGGCUGAUGGGUCAGUGCUGAGGGCACGGUGGGUUUGUGGUCACCAAAAGGACUUUGCUGUCCCUCCCACCCCUGUCCAGCCUCCUCAAGAUGGAUUUGGGGGGGGUUUCUGCCCAAAGUUGGGGGGCUCCUGCUCUUCCAGUUGGAUUUGCCUGACUGGGGCAGUUCUGCUCCUCCCCGUGCCCUCACCCACCCCAGGGAAUAACCCUGGGCACCCCCUGCCCAUCCCCUUCCCUGUGCCCUCGCCCACCCCAGGGAAUGCUCCUGGGCACCCUCUCCGUGCCCUCAUCCAGCUCAGGAUGCUGCCAGGCAGUUCCUGACCCUCGCCCACCCCAGGAAUGCUCCUGGGCAUCCCCUCCCUGUGCCACUGCCCACUCCGGGCUGUUCCUGGGCAUUCCAGGCUCCUGCCCUCACCCACUUCUGGGUUGUUCCUGGGCAUUCCCUCCCUGUGCCCUCACCCACCCUGGGCUGGAUCCAGGCAAUUCCUUCUUGCCCACCAUCAAAUUCCUUCUCCUUGCCCACCUUGGGGUUGACCCAUUAAAUUCUUUCUCCUCGCCCGUCCUGGGGUUGAUCCUGGCAAUUCCUUCUUGCCCAUCAUUAAAUUCCUUCCUGUUGCCCACCUGGAGUUGAUCCAGGCAAUUCCUUCUCCUUGCCCACCCCAGGGAUGAUCCAGACAAUUCCAUCUUGCCCAUCCCGGACUGAUCCAGGCAAUUCCUUCUCCUUGCUCACCCUGGGGUUGAUCCAUGAAAUUCCUUCUUUUCCACCCCAGGGGUGAUCCACAAAAUUCCUUCUCUUUGCCCACCCUGGGGUUGAUCCAGGCAAUUCCAUCUUGCCCAUCCCGGACUGAUCCAAGCCAUUCCUUCUUGCCCAUUUUGGAGCUGAUCCAUGAAAUUCUUCCUCCUUGCCCAUCCCAGACUGAUCCAGGCCAUUCCUUCUUGCCCAUUUUGGGGCUGAUCCAUGAAAUUCCUUCCCCUUGCCCAUCCCGGACUGAUCCAGGCCAUUCCUUCUUGCCCAUUUUGGGGCUGAUCCAUGAAAUUCCUUCCCCUUGCCCAUCCCGGACUGAUCCAGGCCAUUCCUUCUUGCCCAUUUUGGGGCUGAUCCAUGAAAUUCCUCCUCCUUGCCCAUCCCAGGGCUGAUCCAGGCAGUUCCUUCUCCCGGCCUACCCCAAGGACUCUCCACAGCUCCCAGCCGUUUAUCUCCACCCCUCCCGCCCCAUUUGCAGCCCUUUUCACCGAAACCGGGCGAAUUUCGGGAUUUUCUCCCGGCGCGCCUUCCCCGUGACGUCACGCCCCCUCCCGCCAUGUGACGUCACGCCCCCGCCGCGUGGCGUCACCGCAGCGCGCGGCCCCGGCGGGUGAGCGCUGGCGGAAGGGGCGGGGCUAAAACCGGCGGCACUUCCGGGAGCGGCGCGGGGCGGAGGGGGAACAUGAGCUGGUAGCUCCAAGCCAAUGCUCUGGUUGAGCCACAACCGUGUUUCACAACCGUGCUUAAAAUGGAUAUUUUUGUAGCAUAGUCAGGGCCUAAAACAGCCCUGCAAAAUUCUGCUCGCCCACGCGCCUGGCGUGAGUAAUUUUCUUUUGAUGGGAUGCGGAGGGACCCGUUCCCAGGAGCUCAUCCCUCCGCUGCCAAACUUCAGCAAGCGGCUCGCCCUGACAUCCCUGCGUGCCUUAAACCUCCAAGUUCCCAAGGAUGGGGCUGAAAUCCAAAAUCCAGGUGGGAGCACUCACCUGCUUCAUUCCCGAGGGAUCCCAUCCCCACAUCCUCCUCUCUCUCCCCACCCUGUGACCUCCCCUCUCAUCUCCUCGAGGAGAGCACCCAAACGGGGAUUUGGCGCAGAGUCUCCCUCGACAGAAGCUGUUUGU